ensembl:lincRNA
GAGAUUAAUACAAAGAUAAUCGCGUUUCUGCCCUUAGAGGAUCUUACAUAUGAGAAGUCACAAACGGUUUCCUCCUGAUUCAAGGAAGAGAAAGAUGUUCUUGUGAGUACAUUGAGGGCAAUUUCUAUCCCCUUCCCUCAAGCGUGGGGCCAUUUUGAGGAGCCUGAAAUAUGGUCCCAGGUGGUUGAGAGACACAAAGGACUGGACAUGCCUGAUAAGCUCAGGUUACCCGUGGCUGCAGAGUGGAGGUGGCCAUGUUGGGAUCUACUGUGUUCCCAGAUUUUGCUGGAGCGAGGGGAUGGGAGUGAUUCCCUUAUAGCAGAGAUGAGCCCUAUAAAAGAGAAAGAGAUUCUGGAUUCAUUUUGAGUCCUUCUGCCUGAGAGUAAGAACGCCCACACGGCAAGAGUCAAUGGCGGCAGAAAGAGAGUGGUGACUGCGAGCAGCACAUCAACACCUCACGGGGUCACCGUUGGGAGUGGCCUCUAAAGGCCCUUGGAGUGGCCACAGGACAGACCUGGUCUCUAUCAGACCAGAGAGAGCCUGUGGUACUGCACCGUCCAGACCUUUGCGAGGUUCUACUCUUCCUUUCUUCUCAUGUUCCCCUCUCGGUGCAUUUGCGCAGGAGGGGUCAGAAGCUGCCCACCAAACUGAGUGGAGGAUAUAGAGAAGAAAGGCAAGAUGGGGAGCAACCUCAGCUGGAGAAGAGAACAAGAUCUGGUAACAGAAUUACAGAAUUUGGAGCCAUCAUAAGGAAUGAAAUAUUAGCAUUUGUGGCAACCUGGAUGGAGUUGGAGACAAUUGUUGUAAGUCAAGUAACUCAGGAAUGGAAACCAAGUAUCAUAUGUUCUCACUUACAAGUGGGAGUUAAGCUAUGAGUAUGCAAAGGUGUAAGAAUGAUAUAAUGGACUUUGGGGACUCAGGGGAAAGGAGGGAGAGGGGUGAAGAAUAAGACUGACUACACAGUGGGUACAGUGUACACUGCUCUGGUGAUAGGUGCACCGAAAUCUCAGAAGUCACCACCAAAGAACUUAUCCAUGUAACCCAAAAGCACCUGUUCCCCCAAAACUACUGAAAUAAAAUAAAAUUGAAAACAAACAAAAAGAAGUACAGAGUUUCAACAGUCAAAUGUCACUCCAAGAACUAGGACCAGAGCGUUUCCAGCUCUUCCCAAGGCCUGUUCUGGGAGCCACUUUGUGUCAGCGCUGUCUGCACGUCUCUGGUUAUAACCUCAUUUUCCUAAGUGGCAUGAUGCUCACUUUCGGUGGUUGUUCAUUUUAGGUAAAUGGCAAGCCCGUGGGACAAAUAGGGGCGAUUUCUCCCCUCAGGUAGUGCAGACCCGAUGCAGGUUAGGUGCCUGAGGAGGCUGUGAUGAGCAGGUGGUCCUGACAUGGGAGAGUCCCACAAGGCCCAGAGGUGGGUCAUUCUUGGCACACUGAUGGCACAACAAAGAUCCUCACGUGAGGACCCAUCACUAGGCUUUGCACUGUCACCAUGGCAAAGGAAACGGCUGUGACUCUUCCGUUUUAUUCUUAUAUAUAUGCUCCUCAACUUACAAUGGACUAUGUCCUAAUAAAUCCAUCAUCAGUCAAAACUAUCAUGUGUCAAAAAUGCACCUAACGCUGCUAACACAGCAGAUGGUCCCUGACUUUCAACCGUUCCAUUUGUGCUUUUGCCAUGUUGAGACAGUGCUGGAGCAAGGUGCUCUCAGUAGAAAUCGUAACCCUAUCAUGUUUUAUAAGGAGCUCCUCUACCUACAGUGGGGUUACCUCCCAAAAGACCCAUCUCAGAGUUGAGAAUUCUUAAGUUGAAGCAUCAUAAGUCAAGGACUGUGUGUGUGCAUUUUACUUACAUAGAAAGGUUACACAAUCCAUGUGUACCUUAUAAUACAUACUGGGGUCAUAGCUACAGGAGAGUUCUGAAGUCUGUGAUAGCCCCACUUCCUUCACUUAGUUAAUUACAACCUAUUUCUAAAUACAAUUGGUCACAUUCUGAGGUACUUGGCAUUAAGACUUCAACAUUUAUUUGUGGGAGAUACCAU